CAUCAUUCCAAGUCCUCAUGGAAAGGACUUGGAUCAUCAUCCUAACAGGACUUACAUCAUCAGCAUCAAGCAGGAAUGUACGGGAACAUGGGAUUUACAGACGGAUCCGAGCAGUUGUAAUUCCCUGUGAAGUGCAUCGGUAUGGAAACAGAUACUACACAGCAGCACUGAUAAAGUUCAAGCCUGUAUCUGCUGAUAGCCAGAAUAAAAGGAUUGUUUAGUGCCACACCUGUGGACUUUUUGUGUGAACUUUCAACUAUGACAAGAGGAGCUGUGGGAGUUCCUGGGUGCCAGCACCACUCUUACCUGCUGCUGGAGAUACUUGGAAGGCACAAAG